AUACGGAGGGUGCAAGCGUUAUCCGGAAUCAUUGGGUUUAAAGGGUCCGCAGGCGGACUGAUAAGUCAGUGGUGAAAUCCCGUAGCUUAACUACGGAACUGCCAUUGAAACUGUCAGUCUUGAAUUCGGUCGAAGUGGGCGGAAUGUGUCAUGUAGCGGUGAAAUGCAUAGAUAUGACACAGAACACCGAUAGCGAAGGCAGCUCACUAGGCCUGAAUUGACGCUCAGGGACGAAAGCGUGGGGAGCGAACAGGAUUAGAUACCCCAGUAGUCC
rnacentral:rRNA from 1 species